rnacentral:rRNA from 1 species
UACGUAGGGGGCUAGCGUUGUCCGGAAUCAUUGGGCGUAAAGAGCGUGUAGGCGGUCCGGUAAGUCCGCUGUGAAAGUCGGGGGCUCAACCCUCGAAUGCCGGUGGAUACUGUCGAGCUCGAGUCCGGAAGAGGCGAGUGGAAUUCCUGGUGUAGCGGUGAAAUGCGCAGAUAUCAGGAGGAACACCAAUGGCGAAGGCAGCUCGCUGGAACGGUACUGACGCUGAGGCGCGAAAGCGUGGGGAGCGAACAGG